AAAACAAAAAGAAGAAGAAUACACACAUACAUAUUUAAGGAACAGUUAAGAUACACUUGUUUGUGUGCAUAGGCUAAGCAGUUAGUUAAUAUCGUGUUUCAUAUCCAAGUAUGAGAUAACCUAAGUAUUGUAUGCCCCACAGUAAAUCUGUAGCAGUUAAGCCGAUUUUAUUAGUACUGAAGCUUCGAAAGAACAUUUACCUAAUGAUCGCUCUUGAUAGGGAUACUUUUUGGCCUCGAUAUUGAGAUAAUUUUUGGAAUACGAUACGAUACGAUACGACGAUACGAGAGAAGGAAGGGAAGGAUGAUGAGGAUGUGUACUAGGGAAAACCGUUUUUAUUGUCACAAAAUUUUUUCUAUUUUUUAUACCAGACAACUUUGAAGCAACUAAACGGAGGAAGAGAUUUAAUAAAAUCGAUAGGAUUGAUAAGGAUAGAAGCUUUUCGCUACAUAGAUUGCAGCUACUAGAAGGGAUUAUACAAAAGGACAUAUGUACGUUUGGCAAGUGUGUUUGGCUUCGACCCGAUAAAAGCGCUUUUAUAAACUAACUAGAUUAAUGUGAAACAUUGAAUAUGAUAAAUUUGAAUUGUACUUUUAUGAUGUAUGCGUAUCCACUGGCCUUAUUUAUUCAGAAGUAAGCAAACCAUGAGCUGAACAACUCACACACAAACACUUGAUCGAAACGAGAACACAGAUACACACCCACACACAGCACAGAACACACUUAAACUCUACAAAGGAAACAAAUUGAUAAUUGAUAAUUACAAUUGAAAUUUUCAGCAAGUAAUAUUCUUAAGGCUUUGCGUCGAUUUUGUUAAUUGUUUUUUGGCGUCCAAUUUUAAAUGAUAGAUAACUAGUGUAGGGCUCAAGACGAACUAUCGAGUAUUUGUAGCAUCGGAAGGAUUCGUCAAAUGAGAAGAAGCAGGCGAUUUUGAAUUUGAAUUUAUUUUUAAUGACUUUUGAAUACAAGCUAAACAAACCACAGGACGUUUUAUCAGAGAUCGUUUUUUAUCUAUGUAUCAAACGUGUUCUUGAACCACAACAAACAACCAAAAACAUACCACAUACAACCAACUAAUUGCUAAGUGUCCGCUAUGGCCUAUCGCCCAUGAGUUAGAUGUAAGAAAGAGUUUUUCCCUAGCCACGGUUGCCACUGCAUGGCUUACGCUACCAAAAGGGAUCCGUUUUUUGUUGAAUCCCUGUCGCCUGCUCCUAUCUUGCUACUGCCCACUAGUGGGGUACAAGGUAAAUAUGUUUCAGAAAAUACUAGUCGAUUCCAUUCGAUGAUAUGCUUUGCCGAAAACACAUUUACGUUUCGUACAUUUUGAUACAGCCCAAAAAGUAUUUCUGAAUCGAAUCCUUACGGCGAACAAAUGAUCCCUUUUGGUUGAAAAAAAAAAAAUUGUUGCCAGGUGGCGACCGUGUUCCUAGCCCCACGCUUACACUGAAAAAGAUACAGACACAGAGACGACAGGAGUCAGAAGAACACGGGGGAAUCUGCACAACUUAUACAGAUAUAAAAGAAUAUCCAUAAACUGCACCCAAUUAAUUAUACAAUAUACAUAUAUAUCGAGUAUCAAGUAUUUAUGAACACGUCUAGUCACUAAGGAAGAAUUGUAAAAUGAAUGAAAUCGAUGAACACGAAAACGCCCAAAUCUUAUGAGUAUGUAAGUAGAACCGGAAACUAGAAUUCAACCCGGAUAACCGCUGGCUCUGAGACACGAGCUACGAGCCUCCAAACUGCUGAAAUUGGCACUUAAGUAUACAUACAUUACAUACAUACAUACAUACAUAUGUACAACAGGAUAGUACGACUAUGUACGUAGUAGAACUUUCGAGUAAACUAAACCAAACUUUCAACCGUAGUGCGACUUUUUGCCAGUUUACAAUACCGGAGAGCCCAUCGAAGGGAUUGGUUUUUUUUUUUUUUUCGAAAAACUGCUUCACGUUUUUAGUGCGUAAACUUGGUUUUAGAUAUAUGCGAUUAUACGAUUACCAAUACGAUUCAGCGUGUCGCAGGGAAGCCGCUUCAAUGAGCAUUUCCAAGAAGAAGCGAUGGUUCUCACCCUACCCCAACUUGAUGGGUUUUGGCCUGCGGAACCCAGCUCCCUGUGGCACAUUCAUAGACAUAGAAAAAAUGGGUAGCUAGUGGCAAAUACAUACAAGCAAACAAUACGAGUAUCUAGAGAAAAAAAAUAUCAGAUUGGAGUGGGCAAUAAGCAACGUAAGAAUAUCGGUAAAAAUAAUAGUUAAACGAAAACGAAACAUAAACUCAACUCAUUUAGCACUUGCAAUUAAAUGUGACAAAACACCCCUUCCCCAAUCUUCCCCUGAGCUGCGACCGACCUCCCAGAAAUGCAAAUAAAACAGAUGUUUAUUCGAUGU